CCCCUAUGCUACAGAUUGAAGGGGCUAGAGAAACCACUCCUGAAACCCCCAAACAACUUCAAGAAACAACACCCAAGCUUCCCCCAGCUCCAACAAAAAUUCAUCCAGACGCAGAGGACGCUGCUGCCCUGUUGAUGAUGGCACGGACAGCAAGCUAUGUUCCUAAAACAGAUCCGGGGAUGCCAUCAUUCAGCCUCGGAUUGACAGAUUCAAGCCAGGAGUGGGCGUCGACGCAGGAGACAGAAAGGGAAAAAUCUCCAGAAACUGCAACUAUGCUAGAACAAUUGGACAGUUUGGUCCAAAAAUUAGCAAGCAGUGCG